ACACGUGUCGCCGCUCCUGAUUGGCUGAGAGCUGCAGCAGCUGAGUGAACUGCAGCUGCCGCUGUUGCUUCCUCAAGAGACUCAACAUUGGUCUGCGGAUCUGCUGGCGUUCACAGUCUUGCGUGUGGGGUGACCGGCCAGCCGGCUCUGCCAUUGGCCCGUCGUCUUCCCCGUCCAAGUAUGGAGAGCAGAGGUGGAGUGAGGGGAAGCGUUGUGACGACAAUGUCUCCAGCGUGUCAUCGAUGGCAUGUGACAGAGAUGAGAUGAUUAUGGC
ensembl:lncRNA